AUUGAACGCUGGCGGCAGGCCUAACACAUGCAAGUCGAGCGGAGCGGCGGACGGGUGAGUAAUGCCUGGGAAUCUGCCUGGUAGUGGGGGAUCACGUCCGGAAACGGGCGCUAAUACCGCAUACUAUCAGAGGAGCAUAGGUUGGAUUAGCUAGUUGGUGGGGUAAAGGCCUACCAAGGCGACGAUCCGUAACUGGUCUGAGAGGAUGAUCAGUCACACUGGAACUGAGACACGGUCCAGACUCCUACGGGAGGCAGCAGUGGGGAAUAUUGGACAAUGGGCGAAAGCCUGAUCCAGCCAUGCCGCGUGUGUGAAGAAGGUCUUCGGAUUGUAAAGCACUUUAGUUUGGGAAGCGUUACCAACAGAAUAAGCACCGGCUAACUACGUGCCAGCAGCCGCGGUAAUUC
rnacentral:rRNA from 1 species